GAUGAACGCUGGCGGCGUGCCUAAUACAUGCAAGUCGAGCGAACGGACGAGAAGCUUGCUUCUCUGAUGUUAGCGGCGGACGGGUGAGUAACACGUGGAUAACCUACCUAUAAGACUGGGAUAACUUCGGGAAACCGGAGCUAAUACCGGAUGAUAUUUUGAACCGCAUGGUUCAAAGGUAAAAGACGGUCUUGCUGUCACUUAUAGAUGGAUCCGCGCUGCAUUAGCUAGUUGGUAAGUUAACGGCUUACCAAGGCAACGAUGCAUAGCCGACCUGUGAGGGUGAUCGGCCACACUGGAACUGAGACGCGGUCCAGACUCCUACGGGAGGGAGCAGUAGGGAAUCGUCCGCAAUGGUCGAAAGCCUGACGGAGCAAGGCGGCGUGAGUGAUGAAGGCCUUCGGAUCGUAAAACUCUGUUACUAGUUAAGAACAUAUGUGUAAGUAACUGUGCAGAUCUUGACGGUACCUAAUCAGAAAGCCCCGGCUAACUACGUG
rnacentral:rRNA from 1 species